rnacentral:rRNA from 1 species
AAUAGAUACCCCGGUAGUCCACGCCGUAAACGAUAAGUGCUAAGUGUUAGAGGGUUUCCGCCCUUUAGUGCUGAAGUUAACGCAUUAAGCACUCCGCCUGGGGAGUACGGCCGCAAGGCUGAAACUCAAAGGAAUUGACGGGGGCCCGCACAAGCGGUGGAGCAUGUGGUUUAAUUCGAAGCAACGCGAAGAACCUUACCAGGUCUUGACAUCCUCUGACAACCCUAGAGAUAGGGCUUCUCCUUCGGGAGCAAAGUGACAGGUGGUGCAUGGUUGUCGUCAGCUCGUGUCGUGAGAUGUUGGGUUAAGUCCCGCAACGAGCGCAACCCUUGAUCUUAGUUGCCAUCAUUAAGUUGGGCACUCUAAGGUGACUGCCGGUGACAAACCGGAGGAAGGUGGGGAUGACGUCAAAUCAUCAUGCCCCUUAUGACCUGGGCUACACACGUGCUACAAUGGACGGUACAAAGAGCUGCAAGACCGCGAGGUGGAGCUAAUCUCAUAAAACCGUUCUCAGUUCGGAUUGUAGG